rnacentral:misc_RNA from 1 species
AACUUUCAGCAAUGGAUCUCUUGGCUCUCGCAUCGAUGAAGAACGCAUCGAAAUGCGAUAAGUAAUGUGAAUUGCAGAAUUCAGUGAAUCAUCGAAUCUUUGAACGCACCUUGCGCUCCUUGGUAUUCCGAGGAGCAUGCCUGUUUGAGUGUCAUUAAUAUAUCAACCUUCUCUUUUUGAGUGGUUUGGAUGUGGGGGUUUGCUGGCCUCUUAAAAAGGUCUUGGCUCUCCUGAAAUACAUUAGCAGAACAACCCUGUUCAUUGGUGUGAUAAACUAUCUACGCUAUUGAAUGUGAAGGGCAGUUUGGCUUUCUAACAGUCCUUGGACAAGCUCAUCAUUAAUGUGACCUCAAAUCAGGUAGGACUACCCGCUGAACUUAAGCAUAUCAAUAAGCGGAGGCU